CAUCACCCGUCACACUAUGAAAGCUAGUCAUGCCUGAAGUCGUUACCUUAUUUGCAAGGAAGAGAUACCAAAGGCAGGACUAGUGACUAGAGUUAAGUCGUAACAAGGUAGCCAUACAAGAAGGUGCAGCUG
rnacentral:ncRNA from 1 species